rnacentral:snRNA from 1 species
UUGACAUUCACAGCCAUCCUGUCACAUAUACUAAAAUUGAAACGAUACAGAGACCAUUAGCAUGGCCUCUGCGCAAGGAUGACACGCAAAUUUGUGAAGCGUUCCAUAACUGG